rnacentral:rRNA from 1 species
CCUACGGGAGGCAGCAGUGGGGAAUAUUGCGCAAUUGGGGCAACCCUGACGCAGCAACGCCGCGUGAUUGAAGAAGGCCUUCGGGUUGUAAAGCUCUGUAAUCGGGGAAGAAUUUUGACGGUACUCGAAGAAUAAGCCCGGCCUACUUACGUCCAAGCAGCCGCGGUAAGACGUGGGGGGCAGGGGUUAUCCGGUUUUACUGGGGGUAAGGGGCGGGUAGGCGGGCAUGCAAGCCAGAAGUGAAAUCUGGGGGCCUAACCCCCAAACUGCUUUUGUAACUGCGUGGCUUGAGUGAAGGAGAGGCAGGCGGAAUUCCCGGUGUAGCGGUGAAAUGCGUAGAUAUUGGGAGGAACACCAGUGGCGAAGGCGGCCUGCUGGACAUCAACUGACGCUGAGGCGCGAAAGCGUGGGGAGCAAACAGGAUUAGAUACCCCUGUAGUC